rnacentral:rRNA from 1 species
UACGUAGGGGCUAGCGUUGUCCGGAAUCAUUGGGCGUAAAGCGCGUGUAGGCGGUCCGGUAAGUCCGCUGUGAAAGUCGGGGCUCAACCCUGGAAUGCCGGUGGAUACUGUCGGGCUAGAGUUCGGAAGAGGCAAGUGGAAUUCCUGGUGUAGCGGUGGAAUGCGCAGAUAUCAGGAGGAACACCUAUAGCGAAGGCAGCUUGCUGGGACGACACUGACGUAAGGCGCGAAAAGC